rnacentral:tRNA from 1 species
GUGCCUGUAGCCCAACUGGAUAGAGCAUCAGUCUUCGGAACUGAUUGUUGCUGGUUCGACCCCAGCCAGGCACA